GUGCGGCUGGAUCACCUCCUUUCUAAGGAUAAGGAACUGCGCAUUGGUCUUGUUUAGUCUUGAGAGGUCUUGUGGGGCCUUAGCUCAGCUGGGAGAGCGCCUGCUUUGCACGCAGGAGGUCAGCGGUUCGAUCCCGCUAGGCUCCAUUGGUGAGAGAUCACCAAGUAAUGCACAUUGAAAAUUGAAUAUCUAUAUCAAAUAGUAACAAGAAAAUAAACCGAAAACGCUGUAGUAUUAAUAAGAGUUUAUGACUGAAAGGUCAGAAAAUAA
rnacentral:tRNA from 1 species